AGUGCAUGUGGUGGAUGCCUUGGCAGUCAGAGGCGAUGAAAGACGUGAUAGCCUGCGAAAAGCUCCGGGGAGGCGGCAAAUAUCCUUUGAUCCGGAGAUGUCUGAAUGGGGGAACCCACCUACUUUAAGGUAGGUAUUGCAACAUGAAUACAUAGUGUUGCAAGGCGAACGAGGGGAAGUGAAACAUCUCAGUACCCUUAGGAAAAGAAAUCAAUUGAGAUUCCCUCAGUAGCGGCGAGCGAACGGGGAUCAGCCCAUUAAGUUAUGUGUGUUUUAGUGGAACGCUCUGGGAAGUGCGAACGUAGAGGGUGAUAUUCCCGUACACGAAAGGGCACACAUAAUGAUGACGAGUAGGGCGAGGCACGUGAAACCUUGUCUGAAUAUGGGGGGACCAUCCUCCAAGGCUAAAUACUCCUGACUGACCGAUAGUGAACCAGUACCGUGAGGGAAAGGCGAAAAGAACCCCUGUGAGGGGAGUGAAAUAGAUCCUGAAACCGCAUGCAUACAAGCAGUGGGAGCACCUUCGUGGUGUGACUGCGUACCUUUUGUAUAAUGGGUCAGCGACUUAUAUUCAGUAGCGAGGUUAACCGUAUAGGGGAGCCGUAGAGAAAUCGAGUCUUAAUAGGGCGUUUAGUUGCUGGGUAUAGACCCGAAACCAGGCGAUCUAUCCAUGAGCAGGUUGAAGGUUGGGUAACACUAACUGGAGGACCGAACCCACUGUCGUUGAAAAGCCAGGGGAUGACUUGUGGAUAGGGGUGAAAGGCUAAUCAAGCCUGGUGAUAGCUGGUUCUCCCCGAAAGCUAUUUAGGUAGCGCCUCGGACGAAUACCAUAGGGGGUAGAGCACUGUUUCGGCUAGGGGGUCAUCCCGACUUACCAAACCGAUGCAAACUCCGAAUACCUAUGAGUACUAUCCGGGAGACAGACUGCGGGUGCUAACGUCCGUAGUCAAGAGGAAAACAAUCCAGACCGCCAGCUAAGGCCCCAAAAUCAUAGUUAAGUGGGAAACGAUGUGGGAAGGCAUAGACAGCUAGGAGGUUGGCUUANGAAGCAGCCACCCUUUAAAGAAAGCGUAAUAGCUCACUAGUCGAGUCGGCCUGCGCGGAAGAUGUAACGGGGCUAAAACUAUGUGCCGAAGCUGCGGAUUUGACAUUAGUCAAGUGGUAGGGGAGCGUUCUGUAAGCCGAUGAAGGUGUAUUGAGAAGUNGAAGCAGCCACCCUUUAAAGAAAGCGUAAUAGCUCACUAGUCGAGUCGGCCUGCGCGGAAGAUGUAACGGGGCUAAAACUAUGUGCCGAAGCUGCGGAUGUAUACUUUGUAUACGUGGUAGGGGAGCGUUCUGUAAGCCGAUGAAGGUGUGUUGAGAAGCNNNNNNNNNNNNNNNNNNNNNNNNNNNNNNNNNNNNNNNNNNNNAUGCUGGAGGUAUCAGAAGUGCGAAUGCUGACGUGAGUAACGACAAAACGGGUGAAAAACCCGUUCGCCGAAAGACCAAGGGUUCCAGUCCAACGUUAAUCGGGGCUGGGUGAGUCGACCCCUAAGGCGAGGCCGAAAGGCGUAGUCGAUGGGAAAAUGGUUAAUAUUCCAUUACUUCUGUGUAAUGCGAUGAGAGGACGGAGAAGGCUAAAUCAGCCUGGCGUUGGUUGUCCAGGUGAAAGGAUGUAGGCAUGUAUCUUAGGCAAAUCCGGGGUACUCUAUGCUGAGAUCUGAUAGCAAGCUGUACUUGUACAGCGAAGUGGUUGAUGCCAUGCUUCCAGGAAAAGUCUCUAAGCUUCAGUUACACAGGAAUCGUACCCGAAACCGACACAGGUGGUCAGGUCGAGUAGACCAAGGCGCUUGAGAGAACUCUGCUGAAGGAACUAGGCAAAAUGGUACCGUAACUUCGGGAGAAGGUACGCUGUUGUUGGUGAUGGAACUCGCUUCCUGAGCUGACGACAGCCGCAGAAACCAGGCCGCUGCAACUGUUUAUUAAAAACAUAGCACUCUGCAAACACGAAAGUGGACGUAUAGGGUGUGAUGCCUGCCCGGUGCUGGAAGGUUAAUUGAUGGGGUUAGCGUAAGCGAAGCUCUUGAUCGAAGCCCCAGUAAACGGCGGCCGUAACUAUAACGGUCCUAAGGUAGCGAAAUUCCUUGUCGGGUAAGUUCCGACCUGCACGAAUGGCAUAAUGAUGGCGGCGCUGUCUCCAGCAGAGGCUCAGUGAAAUCGAAAUCGCUGUGAAGAUGCAGUGUACCCGCGGCUAGACGGAAAGACCCCGUGAACCUUUACUGCAGCUUGACACUGAACUUUGACCUUACUUGUGUAGGAUAGGUGGGAGGCUUUGAAGCUGGAACGCUAGUUCCAGUGGAGCCGUCCUUGAAAUACCACCCUGGUAAUGUUGAGGUUCUAACUCUGUCCCGUGAUCCGGGACGAGGACCGUGUCUGGUGGGUAGUUUGACUGGGGCGGUCUCCUCCUAAAGAGUAACGGAGGAGUACGAAGGUGCGCUCAGCGUGGUCGGAAAUCACGCGUAGAGUAUAAAGGCAAAAGCGCGCUUAACUGCGAGACCCACAAGUCGAGCAGGUACGAAAGUAGGUCUUAGUGAUCCGGUGGUUCUGUAUGGAAGGGCCAUCGCUCAACGGAUAAAAGGUACUCUGGGGAUAACAGGCUGAUACCGCCCAAGAGUUCAUAUCGACGGCGGUGUUUGGCACCUCGAUGUCGGCUCAUCUCAUCCUGGGGCUGAAGCAGGUCCCAAGGGUAUGGCUGUUCGCCAUUUAAAGAGGUACGCGAGCUGGGUUUAGAACGUCGUGAGACAGUUCGGUCCCUAUCUACCGUGGGCGCUGGAAAUUUGAGAGGAUCUGCUCCUAGUACGAGAGGACCAGAGUGGACGAACCUCUGGUGUACCGGUUGUGACGCCAGUCGCAUCGCCGGGUAGCUAUGUUCGGAAGGGAUAACCGCUGAAAGCAUCUAAGCGGGAAGCCUACCUCAAGAUAAGAUUUCCCUAGGACUUUAUGUCCUCUAAAGAGCCGUUCGAGACUAGGACGUUGAUAGGUUGGAUGUGGAAGCAUAGUGAUAUGUGAAGCUGACCAAUACUAAUUGCUCGUGAGGCUUGACU
rnacentral:rRNA from 1 species